CACACACAUUCCUCCCUAAAACGAGUCAUGACAAAUCUCCAAGACAAAAUCAGAGCCUAUUCGGAGAACAAAUAGACUCUAGCAACCAGCUCAGCUCAGGAUCAACAAAAGAUUAGCACGAUGGAAACAUCUCCCGGAAAAAUGUGGAGUAUUCAACUGCAAAAGGAUCAACAGUACACUGUGACAUUCCCUAGACAGAUACAUUUGUCAAGUGCAAUGCUCUGCUUGGACAGUUUGGGUCCCCGUUGUUUUUUUGACUGUCUCGUUGAAGUACAUGUUGUCGAGAAUGGAAUGGAUCAUUUAAUUGGAGUACUCGCUGGACUUGGUAAUUAUAAAGUAAAUCCUACUUUGCAGUGCAAUAUCAAUAUCAAGUUGGACCCUUCUCAACCUGUCAACUUCUAUGUGAGGACUGCUACUAUACCAUACGAUAGCGCAGCGAGACUUGUCAUAUUUGGAACCAAACUCUCAACGACUUCACUCGCUGUACAAAUUGUAGGUUAUUUUGACUAACCAGUUGCACUCAAACAUUUUUAGUUGUGAAUUUCAAGAGACUGAAAUGUACUGUACCUCUGCAAUAAUUUCAUUGCAGUAUUAUGAUUUAUAAUCAGUUAUACCAAGUGGCUAGAAUGAACUGAAGAGCUAGUGCAUGAUGCAUAUGGGCUAGCUUCCUUUAAUAUAAUAAAUUAUACACAACUAUACAUUAUUGUACAUAUAUAUCAGUACUUACCAGUGCAUGUAGUACCAGCUAGGCCCUGCCAUAUUAUGCUGGCAUAAUAGGUUAGAUCAUGAUCAUUAUGCUGGUCAGUUUUGUGCAAAAACUCCUCUGCUGCUAUCUGAACGUGUUUUCUUUCUUAAAUGCCUCCUUUACAUCUAUUGUAUAGUGUUGAAUCCAUGAUUGCCUAUAGUGGCUAGCGUUUACAGUACAGUAAUAGAUAUCUAGCUAUAAUGAGCUCUACCAGGCUCUGAGGGUCAAAUUAUGUUAGUGCCCUAUUAUUCAACUCCUUAUUAUUCCUAUUAUUUUAGUACGCUGUAGCAUAAUUUGCCAAGCCUAUAUCCAUGACCGUGCGUCCUCGAGGUAAAGACGCGGGUUGCAGAAAAUUAUUAAGAGUAGAACAUGCACACACCAUGUGGCAGCUGAGCACUUAUUUCAGAAACACGGGCCUAAUAUAUAUUAUAGGCGGACAGUUGAUCAGGAACACAUUGCAUCUUAACAGGGCCUAAUAAUAACAUCAUUGAAGGAAAACACAAACUAUGCACCACACGACGAAUACACGAGCAAUAAAAAGGUUGAAAAUGCAAAUAACUCCACUCACUAAAGCUGCAUGUCCUAUCAUACUAGAGGUGUCUCUUUGUUUGUAUUUCUUUUAACAUAAUCUUCCAUUCCUACGUUUCCCAGUAUAUUCUCAAAUGGGUUAAAUUCUCCAAUACUUGGCAAUCUUUGCAACAGAGGAUCAUUUUUGUUCACUCCCGACUGUGUUGCUUGUACUCUCGAGUAUAGGGCUGUGGUUUGGGCGGUGGUGGUAGCCGUUUCUUUUGAUAGUUCAGUGGUACUUGUGGUAUGGAUAAUGGAAUAUCUUGAGCAAACUUCGGAGAUCUUGGUCCAGCAGGUCUCUUCAAGUCUUUGCUAGUGUAGGUCAUGUGUUGGUAUCCAUAGUUGUAGAAUGGGUUAGAGUACUGUGUGUGUGUGUCCUGUAUACCAGAAGCCUGCAUUUGGAAAUUGGGAGAACUGGAGGAUCCACGAUUAUAGCCGUAGGGGCUAGCAAUGGCUGAACUCAUUUCAGGAGCACUGCCCUUUCGCACAUGUAGGUUUGUCUCUGCUUGACUGCGUAUCAGUUACUUGUGUAGUUGCUGUAGUGGUAUAGUGGAAAUAAGAGGUUGCGGUAACUCAGGGGACUGGGUUUCAAUCAGAGCCGAUGCAUUCGAUUGUUCUCAUCUUCUUCACCAGUUUCUGUUUGCCCUCUUUGUGUCUGUGGUAUAUGGGAUCACUGAGGGAGGCUUGCAGUGGACCUGUACAGGAAGGGGGGGGUUAAAGAUAUGGUAGUAGUAGUUACAUCAGAAAAUAUUGUUUUGAAAGGAAGGCCACAACGUUGUGGAUUUUCAUGUUGGUCCUAUUAGUGCAAAGUGUUUUGCUCCAAUAGGGAACACUUCCUGUUAGCUUUUACCACACUCAUGAUUAUGUACUAAUUUAAAGCUUCAAUCAACUGCUAUAAUUAUGGGUCAUGAUGAAACAAGUCAAACGUCUAUUACUGUAUGAAGGCUUGAAAAAGGACAGUAAUCUAGUACCUUAGCCUCGAUUCCAGGCCGCUGAGAAAGGCGGCCUGGUAUACCGUAUAGCGGGUAUAUUUCGAGGGUAUAAAUUUUCGCGGAUGGACCAUUACAAAGGAUUUCGCGGAUUUUAUUUUCGUGGUCUGAGUUCCAGCCUUUUGGCGCAUGCGCACAUCAACAUGCAGCUGUACCUCCACACCCGUUAGCCUCGAAUCCAGGCCUAGCCUAUAACGGUGAGGCACCUCUUAUUGUCGAUAGGUGUGGUCAAUAAUACUGAACACGCCUACUAUUCAAUAAAGAUGUAAAUUUUCGUGGGUAUAAAUUUUCGCGGUAGAGGCUCAAUCCGCGAAAACCGCGAACAUUUAUACCCUCGAAAUAUACCCGCUAUACGGUACACUGUUUACGCAUGCGCCAGAAUUACCAAGAAUCUUGGUAAUCGUAAAUUGUAGUAUAUUUAUCAGUAUUCUUAUUCCGCAUUUAGUUGUAAAACAUUGAUAUCCGUUUCAUUUAUAAUGAUGUCAUUGAAAAAAGAAAUCUAGUCCAAGUUGUGUAAUGGCUGCUACCUUCUCUUCUGCUCUCGCGUACAAGUUAUCCUGUGUUGGAAAACCAGGUCUAGUCUUGAAAGACAAGCAGCUGGAGGUGUUGAAGUGUCUGUACGCUGGUGUUUAUGUGGGUACCGUACCGACCGGCUAUGGCAAGUCCCAGAGCAAGUCCAUCUGCUUUCCAGACACUCCCUUUCUUGAUUGAUGUGAAGCUUGACAGGACCAGUGCACCUCUCUCUGAAAGAAGUGUUGUGAUGAAAGAAGUGUUGUGAUGGUGAUUUCUCCUCUUGUUUCUCUGAGUGAAGCCAUCUUCAAAGUGUUAGUGUGUCUGUUCGAUGUUCAGUGCCAUUCUCUCUGGAAGGAAGUAUUGUUGUGACAUUUGCCGAAAAUUGGUCACAGAGUAAGUACGCGGUAUCUGAUCCGAGAACUGUGUGGCCUGAAUGUGUCUACAAUCCGAGGGACUUGUGUGUAUCCGAUCCGAGGGACUUGUUGCUUGAGUGUGUAUCCGGACUUGUUGCUUGAGUGUGUAUUAAUGGAUAGUGCUUCAAUGGUUUAACUAAUUUCUUAUGAGAUUAACUUGUCGCCUGAGUGUGUAUCCGAUCCGAGCCUCAAGUUAAUGAAUAAAUCUACAGAGCUGAUGUUUUACUUAGCUGUCUCUGUCUACAGUAUAUACAGAGAGGUAGCCUCUCCUUUUUCUUUUUUCUGUUCUUUAUCACAAUAAGAUAAAAUACUGUUUUAACGUUCAA